UUUCGAUAAUCCGCAUCAGCAGUCAAGAAUAUUAGUCAAUGUUAUUUAAUUCCAUAAUCCGGCAUCCGCUUACUAUUAAUGUCGUCUAAAUUUGGUGCCAGAAGACUCGGUAAGACCUUAGACGCAAACGUUAAUCGUCAUAAUCAGGCGUAAAGGGUGUGUAGGCUGCUUUAAAAAAUAUAAUAAGUAAUAUAAUUAUUAUAGCAAAAAAAUUAUAUUUUAAUAAAAGCUAGAAUCUAAAAGAGGGUAAGCUAAACAACAUAAUUAACUGGGACUGACAACUUAUAAUAAUGUGGAGUACUAAAGGUUAAAGCUAUUUAUCUACUGAAGAUUGACGCUGAGAAACGAAGGGGAGAAUAAGAAACUUAAAUUAUAGACCUAGUUAUCUCUCUCAGACAACGAUGAAUGGUAGUUAUUAAAAAUUUUAUAAUUUUAAUAACGAGGUUAACACGAUGACCAUUCCGCCUUGUUAUUAAGACUGCCAAAUUGAAAA
rnacentral:rRNA from 1 species